CAUGUCUSAGUUCAUACAUCARAAUGUGAKASUGCGGACGGCUCAGUACAUCAGUUAUCAUUCAUUUGAUUGUAACCUUCCCCUAUUGGAUAACCGUGGGAAAUCUAGAGCUAAUACAUGCGAAAAAUUGUCAGCAGUGGCUGCGGUGGCAACAUCGCAGUCAAUGCCUGGCAAUGCAUUUAUUAGAGAAAACCAACGUGCGAGCACAGUGAAUGCCGGGCGAAAGCCCGUUCAUUAGCCGUGCUUCAAUAUGGUGAAUCUAGAUAACUUUGCUGAUCGUAUGGCCUAGAGCCGGCGACGUUUCAAUCAAAUUUCUGCCCUAUCAACUAGUUGGUUGGGUAGUGGCCAACCAAGGUUGUAACGGGUAACGGGGAAUCAGGGUUCGAUUCCGGAGAGGGAGCCUGAGAAAUGGCUACCACAUCCAAGGGAGGCAGCAGGCGCGCAAAUUACCCAAUCCAGACACUGGGAGGUGGUCAUGAGAAAUACUAGGUCGUUUCCCACAAGGAUGCGACACUAGAAUGAGCGUAAUGUAGAGAUUUCGUUGAGUAACAACUGGAGGGCAAGUCUGGUGCCAGCAGCCGCGGUAAUUCCAGCUCCAGUAGUGUAUUCUAGCGUUGCUGCGGUUAAAACGCUCGUAGUUGAAUUACGCAGUGUGAUGCAGUCAGUUGGCAGCGCGCCACAUACAACCGGCUCUAUACUUUACAUGCCGCAUGGUCCACGGUAAUUCCAUUAUGGGGCUGUGCCCGCCUAUGUUGGGGCUCUGUUCAACAUCCACGAUGUAGUAUUGCGGUGUGUGGCUCUGUAGUGGUGCUGUGUCGGCUAUGUGUGUAUGUGUGUAGAUGCUCCGGCGUGGUAAGCUGUCGAUUCUCAGCUGCAUCAUGCUACUUGUAUCGUGAGGAUGGCAGAUGACCUUAACUGAGUUGUCUGCUGUGUCUCGCGGAGUGUGCCUUGAAUAAAUCAAAGUGCUCAAAGCAGGCAUGUCUGCUCGAAUGUUAAUAGCAUGGAACGAACAUACGUGGUAUCACAGUGUGCCAAUGGUGCCUGUAUCAUGCGAGCUUAUGUUUGUGUGGUGUGGCAUUGCUGGUGCACAGCACCUACCACCAUUGCGGACGUUGGUUUCCGUACAUGGGGUGAUGAUUAAGAGGGACGUUUGGGGACAUUGGUAUUUGGCCGCGAGAGGUGAAAUUCUUGGACCGGCCAAGGACCAACAAAUGCGAAAGCAUCUGUCAAGAGCGCUCCCAUUAAUCAAGAACGAUAGUGAGAGGUUCGAAGACGAUCAGAUACCGUCCUAGUUCUCACCGUAAACUAUGCCAACCCGGGAUCAGUUUUGAGCAAUAUAUAUUAAGUGUCGCUCGUGGUUGGUCCCCCUGGGAAACCUCAAGUCUUUAGGUUCCGGGGGGAGUAUGGUUGCAAGGCUGAAACUUAAAGGAAUUGACGGAAGGGCACCACCAGAGGUGGAGCGUGCGGCUUAAUUUGACUCAACACGGGAAAACUCACAUGGUCCACACAUGGAAAGGAUUGACAGACUGAUAGAUCUUUCAUGAUACGGUGUUUGGUGGUGCAUGGCCGUUCUUAGUUCGUGGAGUGAUCUGUCAGGUUGAUUCCGGUAACGAACGAGACCAUAUUCUCCAUUUAAGGAGCUAGAGUAACAAUCAGCAACGUCGUGUGUACGUGCGUGGGAGUAAUCACACGCGCGCGCAUGCGUACAUCAGCUGAUUUCUGGCAUAACAGCGCGGUGCCGUGUAACAGGCAUUGAUAACCUGCAAGUGAAAUUGUACAUGGCUCAUAUGUAUCUGCACACACAUACAUCUGUGCAUUGCAUAUACAUAUAUAUAUGUGUGUGUGUGCGCGCGCUCGUUUGUCGUGUAACAUGUAACAAUGAAGCAUUGCAAGUGGGUGUGUGUCGCGCAUGCAUGUGUAUGUGUGUAUGCCUGUGUACAUGUGUGUGUGUGUGUGUGUGUGUGUGCGGGUUGUGUGCAGUGUAGCGAGUAGUAGUGUCGGUGUGCUGACAUGAUGCUUAUGCUGUCAUCCCUCUAGCCAGGUAUUGCACUCGGUGGGCAACUGUCGUUUGUGAUGCGCUAUGGAGAGACAACCGGGUAUAUCUAUAAAGCCGGAGGAAGCUUGGCAAUAACAGGUCUGUGAUGCCCUUAGAUGUUCAGGGCCGCACGCGCGCUACAAUGAUAACGACAGCGAGCAUCUGGGUCGAAAGGCUUUGGGUAAUCUUGUGAAUCGUUAUCGUGAUGGGGAUUGAGCCAUGUAAUUGUGCUCAUGAGAGAGGAAUCUCUUGUAAGUGCCAAUCAUGAGUUGGUACUGAACGCGUCCCUGCCCUUUGUACACACCGCCCGUCGCUACUACCGAGUGAAUGGUGUCAUGAUGCCUUGGGACCGGACGUUGUUGGUGCUCUUGUGGGCACGGACGAUGCUGGGAUCAAUGUAAAAUGGCGCAGUUCGUGA
rnacentral:rRNA from 1 species